GGUAGUGCAGCGGAAGCAUACGCGGUAAUACGGAGUGUGCAAGCGGUAAUCGUAAUUACGGGGCUGAAAGCGUGCGGAGUCGGCGUAGUAAGUCAGAUGUGAAAUCCCUAGGGUAAACCUAGGAACUGCAUUUGAAACUAAUAAACUAGAGUAUCGUAGAGGGAGGUAGAAGUCCAGAUGUAGCGGUGAAAUGCGUAGAUAUCUGGAGGAAUACCAGUGGCGAAGGCGACCUCCUGGACGAAAACUGACGCUCAAGCACGGAAGCAUGGGGAGCAAACAGGAUUAGAUACCCCUGUAGUC
rnacentral:rRNA from 1 species